GGUUAAGCGACUAAGCGUACACGGUGGAUGCCCUGGCAGUCAGAGGCGAUGAAGGACGUGCUAAUCUGCGAUAAGCGUCGGUAAGGUGAUAUGAACCGUUAUAACCGGCGAUUUCCGAAUGGGGAAACCCAGUGUGAUUCGUCACACUAUCAUUAACUGAAUCCAUAGGUUAAUGAGGCGAACCGGGGGAACUGAAACAUCUAAGUACCCCGAGGAAAAGAAAUCAACCGAGAUUCCCCCAGUAGCGGCGAGCGAACGGGGAGCAGCCCAGAGCCUGAAUCAGUGUGUGUGUUAGUGGAAGCGUCUGGAAAGGCGCGCGAUACAGGGUGACAGCCCCGUACACAAAAAUGCACAUGCUGUGAGCUCGAUGAGUAGGGCGGGACACGUGGUAUCCUGUCUGAAUAUGGGGGGACCAUCCUCCAAGGCUAAAUACUCCUGACUGACCGAUAGUGAACCAGUACCGUGAGGGAAAGGCGAAAAGAACCCCGGCGAGGGGAGUGAAAAAGAACCUGAAACCGUGUACGUACAAGCAGUGGGAGCACGCUUAGGCGUGUGACUGCGUACCUUUUGUAUAAUGGGUCAGCGACUUAUAUUCUGUAGCAAGGUUAACCGAAUAGGGGAGCCGAAGGGAAACCGAGUCUUAACUGGGCGUUAAGUUGCAGGGUAUAGACCCGAAACCCGGUGAUCUAGCCAUGGGCAGGUUGAAGGUUGGGUAACACUAACUGGAGGACCGAACCGACUAAUGUUGAAAAAUUAGCGGAUGACUUGUGGCUGGGGGUGAAAGGCCAAUCAAACCGGGAGAUAGCUGGUUCUCCCCGAAAGCUAUUUAGGUAGCGCCUCGUGAAUUCAUCUCCGGGGGUAGAGCACUGUUUCGGCAAGGGGGUCAUCCCGACUUACCAACCCGAUGCAAACUGCGAAUACCGGAGAAUGUUAUCACGGGAGACACACGGCGGGUGCUAACGUCCGUCGUGAAGAGGGAAACAACCCAGACCGCCAGCUAAGGUCCCAAAGUCAUGGUUAAGUGGGAAACGAUGUGGGAAGGCCCAGACAGCCAGGAUGUUGGCUUAGAAGCAGCCAUCAUUUAAAGAAAGCGUAAUAGCUCACUGGUCGAGUCGGCCUGCGCGGAAGAUGUAACGGGGCUAAACCAUGCACCGAAGCUGCGGCAGCGACGCUGAUGCGUUGUUGGGUAGGGGAGCGUUCUGUAAGCCUGCGAAGGUGUGCUGUGAGGCAUGCUGGAGGUAUCAGAAGUGCGAAUGCUGACAUAAGUAACGAUAAAGCGGGUGAAAAGCCCGCUCGCCGGAAGACCAAGGGUUCCUGUCCAACGUUAAUCGGGGCAGGGUGAGUCGACCCCUAAGGCGAGGCCGAAAGGCGUAGUCGAUGGGAAACAGGUUAAUAUUCCUGUACUUGGUGUUACUGCGAAGGGGGGACGGAGAAGGCUAUGUUGGCCGGGCGACGGUUGUCCCGGUUUAAGCGUGUAGGCUGGUUUUCCAGGCAAAUCCGGAAAAUCAAGGCUGAGGCGUGAUGACGAGGCACUACGGUGCUGAAGCAACAAAUGCCCUGCUUCCAGGAAAAGCCUCUAAGCAUCAGGUAACAUCAAAUCGUACCCCAAACCGACACAGGUGGUCAGGUAGAGAAUACCAAGGCGCUUGAGAGAACUCGGGUGAAGGAACUAGGCAAAAUGGUGCCGUAACUUCGGGAGAAGGCACGCUGAUAUGUAGGUGAGGUCCCUCGCGGAUGGAGCUGAAAUCAGUCGAAGAUACCAGCUGGCUGCAACUGUUUAUUAAAAACACAGCACUGUGCAAACACGAAAGUGGACGUAUACGGUGUGACGCCUGCCCGGUGCCGGAAGGUUAAUUGAUGGGGUUAGCGCAAGCGAAGCUCUUGAUCGAAGCCCCGGUAAACGGCGGCCGUAACUAUAACGGUCCUAAGGUAGCGAAAUUCCUUGUCGGGUAAGUUCCGACCUGCACGAAUGGCGUAAUGAUGGCCAGGCUGUCUCCACCCGAGACUCAGUGAAAUUGAACUCGCUGUGAAGAUGCAGUGUACCCGCGGCAAGACGGAAAGACCCCGUGAACCUUUACUAUAGCUUGACACUGAACAUUGAGCCUUGAUGUGUAGGAUAGGUGGGAGGCUUUGAAGUGUGGACGCCAGUCUGCAUGGAGCCGACCUUGAAAUACCACCCUUUAAUGUUUGAUGUUCUAACGUUGACCCGUAAUCCGGGUUGCGGACAGUGUCUGGUGGGUAGUUUGACUGGGGCGGUCUCCUCCUAAAGAGUAACGGAGGAGCACGAAGGUUGGCUAAUCCUGGUCGGACAUCAGGAGGUUAGUGCAAUGGCAUAAGCCAGCUUGACUGCGAGCGUGACGGCGCGAGCAGGUGCGAAAGCAGGUCAUAGUGAUCCGGUGGUUCUGAAUGGAAGGGCCAUCGCUCAACGGAUAAAAGGUACUCCGGGGAUAACAGGCUGAUACCGCCCAAGAGUUCAUAUCGACGGCGGUGUUUGGCACCUCGAUGUCGGCUCAUCACAUCCUGGGGCUGAAGUAGGUCCCAAGGGUAUGGCUGUUCGCCAUUUAAAGUGGUACGCGAGCUGGGUUUAGAACGUCGUGAGACAGUUCGGUCCCUAUCUGCCGUGGGCGCUGGAGAACUGAGGGGGGCUGCUCCUAGUACGAGAGGACCGGAGUGGACGCAUCACUGGUGUUCGGGUUGUCAUGCCAAUGGCACUGCCCGGUAGCUAAAUGCGGAAGAGAUAAGUGCUGAAAGCAUCUAAGCACGAAACUUGCCCCGAGAUGAGUUCUCCCUGACCCUUUAAGGGUCCUGAAGGAACGUUGAAGACGACGACGUUGAUAGGCCGGGUGUGUAAGCGCAGCGAUGCGUUGAGCUAACCGGUACUAAUGAACCGUGAGGCUUAACCUU
rnacentral:rRNA from 1 species